UCUCCGUAGGUGAACCUGCGGAGGGAUCAUUACCGAGUGAGGGUCCUCGCGGCCCGACCUCCAACCCCCUGUCUUCCGACUCUGUUGCCUCGGGGGCGACCCGGCCUUUGGGCGUCGGGGCCCCCGGUGGUCCAUCCCAACCCUGCAUCUGUGCGUCUGAGUAGAUAUUUGAAUCAAUCAAAACUUUCAACAACGGAUCUCUUGGCUCUCGCAUCGAUGAAGAACGCAGC
rnacentral:misc_RNA from 1 species